UACAGAGGUCUCAAGCGUUGUUCGGAUUCAUUGGGCGUAAAGGGAGCGUAGGUGGCCUGCUAAGUCAGUGGUGAAAUCUCUGGGCUUAACCCAGAAAUUGCCAUUGAUACUGGUGGGCUUGAGUGCAGUUGCUGUUGGCGGAAUAUGACAUGUAGUGGUGAAAUACAUAGAGAUGUCAUAGAACACCGAUUGCGAAGGCAGCUAACAAAACUGUAACUGACACUGAGGCUCGAAAGUGUGGGGAUCAAACAGG
rnacentral:rRNA from 1 species